UGGGGUGGGUUAGCCUAUAUU
rnacentral:siRNA from 1 species